rnacentral:tRNA from 1 species
GUUUUGGUAGCCUAUACAUUAGGGCGCUGCGCUGAAGAUGCUGAGGAGGCGGGUGUCGCCCCAGAACA